CGGCUUCAGUGUUUAGCAGCCUUCACUCCAUCUUUUCAUCUGUUCUUUGAAGACUUGUUGCAGGCUUGCAGCCUCUGCAUCGCCAGUGCCAGGACAAUCACCUCGUCGCCGCCGUCAUAACCACCGCUAGGACAACGUUCGAGGAACCCCGUUGCAGAGUCUCCCCUGUUGCUGUCGAGUUCAACCACCUCCUUGUCGUCGUCAUAGCUUCUGUAACCUAGGAAACAAACAGAUAUAUACAAAUAUACAAGAAGAACACGUGCAACAGAAAUUUUAAACAAAUGAUCAAGCAGAAAUAUGAAAUCUUAAGCAAAUGAGGGCAAAUCAGAAAAUGGGGAUUCUGAAAUUUUUAUCCAUAUGAGGCCAAAUCAGUAAACAGAGGAUUCCAGGUUUGUUGAGAGAGAAAUGGCGGACACAAGAGAGACAGCUCCGACAAGGUGGCGAUGGUGGCGACGCAGACCUAGAGGCGCGCAAACCAGAGCCACAACAUGACCCUCGGAGAAUUGCAGACGCGAUUGU